GCUGGGUGUGGUGGCGGGCACCUGUAAUCCCAGCUACUUGGGAGGCUGAGGCAGGAGAAUCACUUGAACCUGGGAGGCGGAGGUUGCAGUGAGCUGAGAUCAUGCCACUGCACUCUAGCCUGGGUAACAGAGCAAGACUCUGUCUCAA
rnacentral:sRNA from 1 species